rnacentral:rRNA from 1 species
CGCCGUAAACGAUGUCGACUUGGAGGUUGUGCCCUUGAGGCGUGGCUUCCGGAGCUAACGCGUUAAGUCGACCGCCUGGGGAGUACAGCCGCAAGGCUAAAACCCAAAGGAAUUGACGGGGGCCCGCACAAGCAGCGGAGCGUGUGGUUUAAUUCGAUGCAACGCGAAGAACCUUACCUGGGCUUGACAUGUACGUAGUAGUGAAGGGAAACCGGAACGAGCCUUCGGGCAGCGUAGACAGGUGCUGCAUGGCUGUCGUCAGCUCGUGUCGUGAGAUGUUGGGUUAAGUCCCGCAACGAGCGCAACCCGUGUUGCUAGUUACAAGUGUCUAGCGAGACUGCCGGUAACAAGCCGGAGGAAGGUGCGGAUGAUGUCAAGUCAGCAUGGCCUAUAUGUCCAGGGCUACACACACGCUACAAUGGCUGGUACAAAGAGAAGCGAAAGGGAGACCUGAAGCGAAUCUCAUCAAAGCCAGUCAUAGUUCGGAUUGCAGGCUGCAACUCGCCUGCAUGAAGUCGGAGUUGCUAGUAACCGCAGGUCAGCAAUACUGCGGUGAAUACGUUCCCGGGCCUUGUACACAC